rnacentral:rRNA from 1 species
GCCUGAGAUCAGGCCCCUUGUCAAAGCCAUCAGAUCUCAGAAGCUAAACAAGGCUGGGCCUGAUUAGUACUUGGAUGGGAGACUACUGGGAAAAUCAGGUGCCUCACUUC